rnacentral:rRNA from 1 species
AGUGAACGCUGGCGGUAGGCCUAACACAUGCAAGUCGAACGGCAGCACAGUAAGAGCUUGCUCUUACGGGUGGCGAGUGGCGGACGGGUGAGGAAUACAUCGGAAUCUACUUUGUCGUGGGGGAUAAUGUAGGGAAACUUACGCUAAUACCGCAUACGACCUACGGGUGAAAGCAGGGGAUCUUCGGACCUUGCGCGAUUGAAUGAGCCGAUGUCGGAUUAGCUAGUUGGCGGGGUAAAGGCCCACCAAGGCGACGAUCCGUAGCUGGUCUGAGAGGAUGAUCAGCCACACUGGAACUGAGACACGGUCCAGACUCCUACGGGAGGCGGCAGUGGGGAAUAUUGGACAAUGGGCGCAAGCCUGAUCCAGCCAUACCGCGUGGGUGAAGAAGGCCUUCGGGUUGUAAAGCCCUUUUGUUGGGAAAGAAAAGCAGCAGGUUAAUACCCCGCUGUUCUGACGGUACCCAAAGAAUAAGCACCGGCUAACUUCGUG